rnacentral:snRNA from 1 species
GGUUGUGAGGGCAAUCUGGCUGCCACAUUAGGUGGGUGUCCCCUUCCUCCCUCACUGCUCCAUGUGUAUCCUUUCUGAAGCUGCGCUCCCCUGCUAGAACCUCCAAACAAGCUCUCAAGAUCCAUUUGUAGGAGAACAUAGAAUAGUUAGGCUUCCAAGACACACACAUCCAAAUGCGGUGCUGCAUGUGGCAGUCUGCCUUUCUUU